ensembl:lncRNA
GUUGGCAACACUGCUGACAGCAGUUGGGGGCGACUGCUGCAGAUGACGAUCCGUCGCCUGUGAGCGCUUGGCACAGGUGAGGUGCCCAUGGCAACACCGCUGCUUGUUGAGAGUAAGAGCGAUACGUGCUUUCACGUCAAAAAGUUGUCCUGAGUCUUCCUAAUAACGCCAGCAAAAGUCGGCAGAUUUGUCACUAGUCGCUUUUUAGACAAAAAGUCGCUAAGGGGGUCUGACUACUCGCUAAAUAUAGCAACAAAGUCGCUAAGUUGGGAACACUGGUCGCAUGAAGGAGCUACCUGAUGCCUGUAGAGACUAAGAUAUGGCUGUUUUUUUUUUUUUUUUUGUUCUUUUAUCUUUGAUUAUUUCACAGUUUGCACAGCCUUGUGGUGACCACUUCUGAGAAGAUUGGUAGCUGUCUUGAGUAUUAAAAAUCAUUUUAAUGACUUAUUCCUGUAGAGAAAGAUGUAAGGAUGCAUUUAGUUAACCUGGCAUUUUGAGUUAUUCUGCAUUUGGUUCGUUCUUCGUGUUAUUAUAACGUUUAUUUGUCUUUGUGUUGUUCACUCUCCAGGUCCUGCUCGUGUUAUUGUGUCUCUUCUCUCUUUUCUAUUCCUAUGUUUCCCUCCAUGUGUUUCAUCCAAUAUCUCCCCCAUCUGUCAUGUGCAUGUUCUCCCCAGGUCAUCUCUCUCUCUCUCCCUUGAAGUUUCGUCUCCAUUAACUGUUUCCGUGUUUCCCUCUUUGUGUCUCCUCCCUUUGUUUCCCCAGCCUGUCAUGUUCCCAUGUGCGCUUCUUGCUCCUGGCCCUGUGUCAUUCCACAUGUUUUAGUAUGUCUUAGUGUUUCCUGUUUUAUUUUGGCAGUCUCUCAUCCUGUGUUCUGUGUGUUCUGUUUACUUCAAAUGUGUCAUUAUGUCUAGUCGUCCCAGCUGUGUUCCCAGUGUUUUUCCACUUCUCUCGUCACCCUCAUGUGUAGGGGUGGGUUUUAAUUAUCGAUUAAAAUCUAUUCUAGCUUGGAUAACUUAAAAUCGAUUCAUUAAAAUCCUGAAUUGAUUUUUAAAUAUAAUUUUAUUUUGCCCGAAACGCCAGAAUCUCAGGUUAAACCUCACAAAAUUUCAACAACCACCAAACAGCUAAAACAGUAAAUGAGGGCAGGUACAUGGAUUCUGCACAAGGACGUAAACACAAAGCGUGGAUAAGAAUCAGUGAGAUGUGGCUUUCUCACCCGAUGGCACGGACACGGUUGGGGCUGAAAACCGACAGCUUUCUGAUUCUUAUCCGUCGGCAGGAUGCGGCAGAA